AUUGAACGCUGGCGGCAAGCCUAACACAUGCCAGUCGAGCGGAUGAAGGGAGCUUGCUCCUGGAUUCAGCGGCGGACGGGUGAGUAAUGCCUAGGAAUCUGCCUGGUAGUGGGGGAUAACGUCCGGAAACGGGCGCUAAUACCGCAUACGUCCUGAGGGAGAAAGUGGGGGAUCUUCGGACCUCAUGCUAUCAGAUGAGCCUAGGUCGGAUUAGCUAGUUGGUGGGGUAAAGGCCUACCAAGGCGACGAUCCGUAACUGGUCUGAGAGGAUGAUCAGUCACACUGGAACUGAGACACGGUCCAGACUCCUACGGGAGGCAGCAGUGGGGAAUAUUGGACAAUGGGCGAAAGCCUGAUCCAGCCAUGCCGCGUGUGUGAAGAAGGUCUUCGGAUUGUAAAGCACUUUAAGUUGGGAGGAAGGGCAGUAAGUUAAUACCUUGCUGUUUUGACGUUACCAACAGAAUAAGCACCGGCUAACUUCGUG
rnacentral:rRNA from 1 species